UAGAAGAAAGAAGAAACACAGAUCCAUACAGAACGCUAGGAUGGGAGUAAAUAAGAUUCUCCGUAUCGCUUAUAUCACUAUUCUUGUGAUUAUUUCAUUACUGACUGAAGUAAAUGGUGGUGUAGGUGCAGGUAGAGGUUCUGGUAUUUGGGAUGAUAUACAUGCCAAUGAUAAAAUGCACUGAAGAGGAUUUUGAAAAAAUCAUAAAAAAUAUAAUUAACAAGAUUUUGGAAUUUUUCUCCGGCACAAUAUUUAACCAUGUGGUUUCAAGAUUAUUAUGGUUCAACAUAACGAAAUUAUAUAUGUGUAUAAUUAUAAAUUGAAAUAAAG